rnacentral:tRNA from 9 species
GCGGAUAUAGUCGAAUGGUAAAACCUCUCCUUGCCAAGGAGAAGACGCGGGUUCGAUUCCCGCUAUCCGCC